rnacentral:lncRNA from 1 species
CAAUUAAUUUUUUGUCAGCCCAAAUAUAUAAAAAAGUAUAUAAAUUUUGUGAAUUUCAAUUAUUAAAUUAAGAUUCUAAUUUUUUAUUUUUCUUUCAACUUCCACCAAUUAGUACUUCUGACAAUCUAACUUCUUGUUGUUAACAAGCUUAACUCAAGUUAGAUUUUUCAGCUCAAUAUAUUAUUAAGCUAGCUCGUAUUCGACUCGUUUAUUAGAGUCAAUUUGAACACAAGCGGUCCCAGGUCGCUG